AACAGAACCCCCAAGCGUUACCCGGAUUUAUUGGGCGUAAAGUGUCUGUAGCCGGUUUGGCAAGUCGCAGGUUAAAUUCUCGAGGCUCAACCUUGAGGCCGCCUGCGAAACUGCCAGACUUGAGGGCGUUAGAGGUUACUGGAACUCUUGGUGGAGGGGUGAAAUCCGUUGAUAUCAAGAGGAACACCAAAAGCGAAGGCAUGUAACUGGGGCGACCCUGACGGUGAGAGACGAAAGCGUGGGGAGCGAAAAGG
rnacentral:misc_RNA from 1 species